rnacentral:rRNA from 1 species
UGGGGAAUUUUGGACAAUGGGCGCAAGCCUGAUCCAGCAAUGCCGCGUGCAGGAAGAAGGCCUUCGGGUUGUAAACUGCUUUUGUACGGAAAGAAAUGGCUCUGGCUAAUACCUGGGGCGGAUGACGGUACCGUAAGAAUAAGCACCGGCUAACUACGUGCCAGCAGCCGCGGUAAUACGUAGGGUGCGAGCGUUAAUCGGAAUUACUGGGCGUAAAGCGUGCGCAGGCGGUUUUGUAAGACAGAUGUGAAAUCCCCGGGCUCAACCUGGGAACUGCGUUUGUGACUGCAAAGCUGGAGUGCGGCAGAGGGGGAUGGAAUUCCGCGUGUAGCAGUGAAAUGCGUAGAUAUGCGGAGGAACACCGAUGGCGAAGGCAAUCCCCUGGGCCUGCACUGACGCUCAUGCACGAAAGCGUGGGGAGCAAACAGGAUUAGAUACCCUGGUAGUCCACGCCCUAAACGAUGUCAACUGGUUGUUGGGUCUUUACUGACUCAGUAACGAAGCUAACGCGUGAAGUUGACCGCCUGGGGAGUACGGCCGCAAGGUUG